GGGUAUCCUUUAGUACGGCGAGUGACCGGGAAAAGCUCAAAUUUGUAAUCUGGCUGUCUUCGAUAGUCCGAGUUGUAAUCUAUAGACGUGUUUUCCGUGCUGGACCGUAUCUAAGUCCCUUGGAACAGGGUAUCAAAGAGGGUGACAAUCCCGUGCUUGAUACGACCACCAGUGCUCUGUGAUACACGCUCUACGAGUCGAGUUGUUUGGGAAUGCAGCUCAAAAUGGGUGGUAAAUUCCAUCUAAAGCUAAAUAUUGGCGAGAGACCGAUAGCGAACAAGUACCGUGAGGGAAAGAUGAAAAGCACUUUGGAAAGAGAGUUAAACAGUACGUGAAAUUGUUGAAAGGGAAACGAUUGAAGUCAGUCGUGUUCUUUGGAUUCAGCUAGUUCUUCUAGUCUACUUCCAUUGAACGGGUCAACAUCAGUUUUGUCCGGUGGAUAAAGAUAGUAGGAAUGUAGCUCCCCCGGGAGUGUUAUAGACUAUUAUUGCAUACACUGGGUGAGACUGAGGACUGCAGCUCGCCUUUUGGCCGGUCUUCGGACACGUUCGAGCUUAGGAUGU
rnacentral:rRNA from 1 species